rnacentral:rRNA from 1 species
CCUACGGGAGGCAGCAGUAAGGAAUAUUGCGCAAUGGGCGAAAGCCUGACGCAGCGACGCCGCGUGGGGGAUGAAGGUCUUCGGAUUGUAAACCCCUUUCGGGAGGGAAGAUGGAGCGAGCAAUCGUUCGGACGGUACCUCCAGAAGCAGCCACGACCAACUUCGUGCCAGCAGCCGCGGUAAUACGAAGGUGGCAAGCGUUGUUCGGGUUCACUGGGUGUACAGGGUGUGUAGGCGGUUUGGUAAGCCUUCUGUUAAAGCUUCGGGCCCAACCCGGAAAGCGCAGAGGGUACUGCCAGGCUAGAGGGUGGGAGAGGAGCGCGGAAUUCCCGGUGUAGCGGUGAAAUGCGUAGAGAUCGGGAGGAAGGCCGGUGGCGAAGGCGGCGCUCUGGAACAUACCUGACGCUGAGACACGAAAGCGUGGGGAGCAAACAGGAUUAGAUACCCUGGUAGUCCACGCCCUAAACUAUGGAUACUAAGUGUCGGCGGGUUACCGCCGGUGCCGCAGCUAACGCAUUAAGUAUCCCGCCUGGGAAGUACGGCCGCAAGGUGAAACUCAAAGGAAU